GUGCCUCGGAGGCGUGGGUGACGCAGGCGCAGCGCGGGUCGCGCGCGCUACCGCCCAUCCUCGGUUGUCCCACUUUUGUUCGCUUGUCUUCGCUCUUCUACGCAAGAGCUCCGUUUCCGUCUCGCCCUCCUCGAAGUCCUCGUCGCGCGCCCGCGACCCAGGUCGCCCUGAAAUCCAGCCCGUCCGAGCGCGAGUCCAACGGCCGCGGCCGCUCCAAGGCCCCCUCAGACCGUGCCAUGGGUGACAGUGAUGACGAGUACGAUCGAAGGCGCAGGGACAAGUUCAGAAGAGAGCGCAGCGACUACGACCGUUCCCGCGAGAGAGAUGAAAGACGUCGAGGGGACGAUUGGAAUGACAGGUGAACCGUUUUUAACUUCAUCUUGUCCCCGUUUCAUGCCGUUUCACUCCACCCGCGUCGCUUUUCUUUUUCCCCCUUGUAAUUUUUAUGAGGGCGAACCCUAUGAAAUGGCUUAUUGGACCGUUUGCUAUGGUUCAGCCUAUUUGCUGUUGGCCAAAUAACUAGCUGUGGCUUGGUUUUUGAAAUUCUCUGCAGAUCAGAGCUAUAGAGCUAAGAGUUUGAGU
rnacentral:sRNA from 1 species